rnacentral:miRNA from 1 species
GAAAUCAAUAUAUUGAGACAAGGGAGAAAGGACAGAAUUAAUUUCAGAUAUAAAGGACAGAAUUGAUUCCAGAUGUCUGGAAUCAAUUCUGUCCUUUCUCCCUUGUCUCAAUAUAUUGAUUUC